GUUAGGAAUAUUGGACAAUGGGCGCAAGCCUGAUCCAGCCAUGCCGCGUGAGUGAUGAAGGCCUUCGGGUUGUAAAGCUCUUUAGCCGAUGAUUAUAAUGACUGUAGUCGGAAAAUAAGCCCCGGCUAACUUCGUGCCAGCAGCCGCGGUAAUACGAAGGGGGCGAGCGUUAUUCGGAAUCACUGGGCGUAAAGCGUGCGUAGGCGGCUUUGCAAGUUGGGAGUGAAAGCCCAGGGCUCAACCCUGGAAUUGCUCUCAAAACUGCAAGGCUCGAAUUCGGGAGAGGAUAGCGGAAUUGUCAGUGAAGCAGUGAAAUGCGUAGAAAUUGACAGGAACACCAGUGGCGUAAGCGGCUAUCUGGACCGAUAUUGACGCUGAGGCACGAAAGCGUGGGGAUCAAACAGGAUUAGAAACCCUGGUAGUCC
rnacentral:rRNA from 1 species